UAUUUUCAUCCAAAAAUUUCUUUACAAUUUUCCCUCCACUGUGAAUGGUGCUACACACGUAAUUUACUAAAUACGACUGAUGGAAUACGAUGGAUUCAAGUCAGCACAUUGGUGUUUAUUUUGUUUUGAUUCACAAUAUUGUAUGUGAAAAUAGGGUGAAUUGAGUGUCGGACGGUUCAAUUGGUCAAGUUUCUUUCAGUAUACACAACUAUACACAACCUAUAACUAGACAUCGUUUUGUUUCAG